AACGAACGCUGGCGGCAUGCCUAACACAUGCAAGUCGAACGAGACCUUCGGGUCUAGUUGCGCACGGGUGCGUAACGCGUGGGAACCUGCCCUUAGGUUCGGUAUACCUCCCCGCAAGGGGUGCUAAUACCGGUUAAUGUCUUCGCACCAAAGAUUUAUCGCCUUUGGAUGGGCCCGCGUUGGAUUAGCUAGUUGGUAGGGUAAAAGCCUACCAAGGCGACGAUCCAUAGCUGGUCUGAGAGGAUGAUCAGCCACACUGGGACUGAGACACGGCCCAGACUCCUAAGGGAGGAAGCAGUGGGGAAUAUUGGACAAUGGGCGAAAGACUGAUCCAGCAAUGCCGCGUGAGUGAGGAAGGCCUUAGGGUUGUAAAGCUCUUUUAACCGGGAUGAUAAUGACAGUACCGGGAGAAUAAGCGCCGGCUAACUCCGUG
rnacentral:rRNA from 1 species